AGUGAACGCUGGCGGUAGGCCUAACACAUGCAAGUCGAACGGCAGCACAGUAAGAGCUUGCUCUUACGGGUGGCGAGUGGCGGACGGGUGAGGCAUACAUCGGAAUCUACUUUUUCGGGGGGGAUAACGUAGGGAAACUUACGCUAAUACCGCAUACGACCUACGGGUGAAAGCAGGGGAUCUUCGGACCUUGCGCGAUUGAAUGAGCCGAUGCCGGAUUAGCUAGGUGGCGGGGUAAAGGCCCACCAAGGCGACGAUCCGUAGCUGGUCUGAGAGGAUGAUCAGCCACACUGGAACUGAGACACGGUCCAGACUCCUACGGGAGGCAGCAGUGGGGAAUAUUGGACAAUGUGCGCAAGCCUGAUCCAGCCAUACCGCGUGUGUGAAGAAGGCCUUCGGGUUGUAAAGCCCUUUUGUUGGGAAAGAAAAGCAGCAGGUUAAUACCCCGCUGUUCUGACGGUACCCAAAGAAUAAGCACCGGCUAACUUCGUG
rnacentral:rRNA from 1 species